UUUCUUAUCUACUUUUGCCCUUGCACAGAUGAAAGGAGAAAACUUGGACUUUCAAAAAAUAAAAGUAUCAUUUGUUACCAUAACACCUACCAAGUAGUUCAAAUUAAUCGUUUACCUUUGGUGGUGAGUUUCAUAGCCAGCAGCAAUGCCAAUAUAGGACUAAUUGUCAACCCAGAAAAGGGACUUGCUCCAUUUUUUUUUUUUUUUUGAGACGGAGUCUUACUCUUGCCCC
rnacentral:lncRNA from 1 species